ACGGAAGGCAGCAGUGAGGAAUAUUGGUCAAUGGGCGGAAGCCUGAACCAGCCAUGCCGCGUGAAGGAAUAAGGCCCUAUGGGUCGUAAACUUCUUUUGAGCGGGAGCAAUAAGGCGCACGUGUGCGCCGAUGAGAGUACCGUUCGAAUAAGCAUCGGCUAACUCCGUGCCAGCAGCCGCGGUAAUACGGAGGAUGCAAGCGUUAUCCGGAUUUAUUGGGUUUAAAGGGUGCGUAGGCUGCUUGUCAAGUCAGAGGUGAAAGCCCGGGGCUCAACUCCGGAACUGCCUUUGAUACUGGCAGGCUUGAAUACUGUUGCCGUGGGAGGAAUGAGUAGUGUAGCGGUGAAAUGCAUAGAUAUUACUCAGAACACCGAUUGCGAAGGCAUCUCACGAAGCAGGGAUUGACGCUGAGGCACGAAAGCGUGGGGAUCAAACAGGAUUAGAUACCCUGGUA
rnacentral:rRNA from 1 species